rnacentral:rRNA from 1 species
CCUACGGGUGGCAGCAGUGAGGAAUAUUGGUCAAUGGACGCAAGUCUGAACCAGCCAUGCCGCGUGCAGGAAGACGGCUCUAUGAGUUGUAAACUGCUUUUGUACGAGGGUAAACGCCGAUACGUGUAUCUUUCUGAACGUAUCAUACGAUUAAGGAUCGGCUAACUCCGUGCCAGCAGCCGCGGUAAUACGGAGGCUUCAAGCGUUAUGCGGAAUUAUUGGGUUUAAAGGGUGCGUAGGCGGUGGGAUAAGUUAGAGGUGAAAUCCCGAGGCUUAACUUCGGAAUUGCCUCUGAUACUGUUAGGCUAGAGAGUAGUUGCGGUAGGCGGAAUGUAUGGUGUAGCGGUGAAAUGCUUAGAGAUCAUACAGAACACCGAUUGCGAAGGCAGCCUACCAAGCUACUUCUGACGUUGAGGCACGAAAGCGUGGGGAGCAAACAGGAUUAGAUACCCUUGUAGUC